UGCAAGUCGAACGGUAACAUUUCUAGCUUGCUAGAAGAUGACGAGUGGCGGACGGGUGAGUAAUGCUUGGGAACUUGCCUUUGCGAGGGGGAUAACAGUUGGAAACGACUGCUAGUACCGCAUAAUGUCUUCGGACCAAACGGGGCUUCGGCUCCGGCGCAAAGAGAGGCCCAAGUGAGAUUAGCUAGUUGGUAAGGUAACGGCUUACCAAGGCGACGAUCUCUAGCUGUUCUGAGAGGAAGAUCAGCCACACUGGGACUGAGACACGGCCCAGACUCCUACGGGAGGCAGCAGUGGGGAAUAUUGCACAAUGGGGGAAACCCUGAUGCAGCCAUGCCGCGUGUGUGAAGAAGGCCUUCGGGUUGUAAAGCACUUUCAGUUGUGAGGAAAAGUUAGUAGUUAAUACCUGCUAGCCGUGACGUUAACAACAGAAGAAGCACCGGCUAACUCCGUGCCAGCAGCCGCGGUAAUACGGAGGGUGCGAGCGUUAAUCGGAAUUACCGGGCGUAAAGCGCACGCAGGCGGUUUGUUAAGCUAGAUGUGAAAGCCCCGGGCUCAACCUGGGAUGGUCAUUUAGAACUGGCAGA
rnacentral:rRNA from 1 species